rnacentral:misc_RNA from 1 species
GAAAUGCGAUAAGUAAUGUGAAUUGCAGAAUUCAGUGAAUCAUCGAAUCUUUGAACGCACAUUGCGCCCGCCAGUAUUCUGGCGGGCAUGCCUGUCCGAGCGUCAUUUCAACCAUCAAGCCCCCGGGCUUGUGUUGGGGACCUGCGGCUGCCCGCAGGCCCUGAAAACCAGUGGCGGGCUCGCUGUCACACCGAGCGUAGUAGCAAUCACCUCGCUCGGGCGUGCUGCGGGUUCCGGCCGUUAAACAGCCUUACAAAACCCAAGGUUGACCUCGGAUCAGGUAGGAAGACCCGCUGAACUUAAGC